rnacentral:rRNA from 1 species
GAUAAACGCUGGCGGCGUGCAUGAGACAUGCAAGUCGAACGAACGACCUCGGGCUUGCCCGGGGAAGUUAGUGGCGAACGGCUGAGUAACGCGUGGGUGACCUGCCCAGAAGUGGGGAAUAACUGCCCGAAAGGGUGGCUAAUACCGCAUGUGGUCAUGAGUUCGGUCUCAUGACCAAAGCCUUCGGGCGCUUCUGGAGGGGCCUGCGUUCGAUUAGCUCGUUGGUGAGGUAACGGCUCACCAAGGCGACGAUCGAUAGGUGGUCUGAGAGGAUGAUCACCCAGACUGGGACUGAGACACGGCCCAGGCUCCUACGGGAGGCAGCAGUCGGGAAUUUGCUCAAUGGGGGAAACCCUGAAGCAGCAACGCCGCGUGAGGGAUGACGGCCUUCGGGUUGUAAACCUCUUUUCUCAGGGACGAUAAUGACGGUACCUGAGGAAUAAGCCACGGCUAACUACGUG